CAGGCUUAACACAUGCAAGUCGAGGGGCAUCAGGAAGAAAGCUUGCUUUCUUUGCUGGCGACCGGCGCACGGGUGAGUAACACGUAUCCAACCUGCCCUUUACUCGGGGAUAGCCUUUCGAAAGAAAGAUUAAUACCCGAUGGCAUAAUGAUUCCGCAUGGUUUCAUUAUUAAAGGAUUCCGGUAAAGGAUGGGGAUGCGUUCCAUUAGGUUGUUGGUGGGGUAACGGCCCACCAAGCCUUCGAUGGAUAGGGGUUCUGAGAGGAAGGUCCCCCACAUUGGAACUGAGACACGGUCCAAACUCCUACGGGAGGCAGCAGUGAGGAAUAUUGGUCAAUGGGCGCUAGCCUGAACCAGCCAAGUAGCGUGAAGGAUGAAGGCUCUAUGGGUCGUAAACUUCUUUUAUAUAAGAAUAAAGUGCAGUAUGUAUACUGUUUUGUAUGUAUUAUAUGAAUAAGGAUCGGCUAACUCCGUGCCAGCAGCCGCGGUAAUACGGAGGAUCCGAGCGUUAUCCGGAUUUAUUGGGUUUAAAGGGAGCGUAGGUGGACUGGUAAGUCAGUUGUGAAAGUUUGCGGCUCAACCGUAAAAUUGCAGUUGAUACUGUCAGUCUUGAGUACAGUAGAGGUGGGCGGAAUUCGUGGUGUAGCGGUGAAAUGCUUAGAUAUCACGAAGAACUCCGAUUGCGAAGGCAGCUCACUGGACUGCAACUGACACUGAUGCUCGAAAGUGUGGGUAUCAAACAGGAUUAGAUACCCUGGUAGUCCACACAGUAAACGAUGAAUACUCGCUGUUUGCGAUAUACAGUAAGCGGCCAAGCGAAAGCAUUAAGUAUUCCACCUGGGGAGUACGCCGGCAACGGUGAAACUCAAAGGAAUUGACGGGGGCCCGCACAAGCGGAGGAACAUGUGGUUUAAUUCGAUGAUACGCGAGGAACCUUACCCGGGCUUAAAUUGCAGUGGAAUGAUGUGGAAACAUGUCAGUGAGCAAUCACCGCUGUGAAGGUGCUGCAUGGUUGUCGUCAGCUCGUGCCGUGAGGUGUCGGCUUAAGUGCCAUAACGAGCGCAACCCUUAUCUUUAGUUACUAACAGGUCAUGCUGAGGACUCUAGAGAGGCUGCCGUCGUAAGAUGUGAGGAAGGUGGGGAUGACGUCAAAUCAGCACGGCCCUUACGUCCGGGGCUACACACGUGUUACAAUGGGGGGUACAGAAGGCAGCUAGCGGGUGACCGUAUGCUAAUCCCAAAAUCCUCUCUCAGUUCGGAUCGAAGUCUGCAACCCGACUUCGUGAAGCUGGAUUCGCUAGUAAUCGCGCAUCAGCCACGGCGCGGUGAAUACGUUCCCGGGCCUUGUACACACCGCCCGUCAAGCCAUGGGAGCCGGGGGUACCUGAAGUACGUAACCGCAAGGAUCGUCCUAGGGUAAAACUGGUGACUGGGGCUAAGU
rnacentral:rRNA from 1 species